GACGAACGCUGGCGGCGUGCUUAACACAUGCAAGUGGAGCGACGAACCGGGGCUUGCCCCGGGGCAGAGCCGCGAACGGGUGAGUAACACGUGGGUAACCUGCCUUGAUGAUUGGGACAACCCGAGGAAACUCGGGCUAAUACCAAAUGUGCUCUCUCCCUCCAAGGGGAUUGAGGAAAGGAAGCUUCGGCCUCCGCAUCAAGAUGGGCCCGCGGCCCAUUAGCUUGUUGGUGAGGUAACGGCUCACCAAGGCUUCGAUGGGUAGCUGGUCUGAGAGGACGAUCAGCCACACUGGGACUGAGACACGGCCCAGACUCCUACGGGAGGCAGCAGUGGGGAAUCUUGCACAAUGCGCGAAAGCGUGAUGCAGCAACGCCGCGUGGGGGAAGACGGCCUUCGGGUUGUAAACCCCUUUCAGUUGGGACGAAGCUUUGUGGGUGAAUAGCCCAUUGGAGUGACGGUACCUUCAGAAGAAGCCCCGGCUAACUACGUGCCAGCAGCCGCAGUAAAAC
rnacentral:rRNA from 1 species